rnacentral:rRNA from 1 species
UACGAAGGGAGCUAGCGUUGUUCGGAAUCACUGGGCGUAAAGCGCACGUAGGCGGAUUGUUAAGUCAGGGGUGAAAUCCUGGAGCUCAACUCCAGAACUGCCUUUGAUACUGGGGAUCUCGAGUCCGGAAGAGGUGAGUGGAACUCCGAGUGUAGAGGUGAAAUUCGUAGAUAUUCGGAAGAACACCAGUGGCGAAGGCGGCUCACUGGUCCGGUACUGACGCUGAGGUGCGAAAGCGUGGGGAGCAACAGG